AGUGAACGCUGGCGGUAGGCCUAACACAUGCAAGUCGAACGGCAGCACAGUAAGAGCUUGCUCUUACGGGUGGCGAGUGGCGGACGGGUGAGGAAUACAUCGGAAUCUACUUUUUCGUGGGGGAUAACGUAGGGAAACUUACGCUAAUACCGCAUACGACCUACGGGUGAAAGCAGGGGAUCUUCGGACCUUGCGCGAUUGAAUGAGCCGAUGUCGGAUUAGCUAGUUGGCGGGGUAAAGGCCCACCAAGGCGACGAUCCGUAGCUGGUCUGAGAGGAUGAUCAGCCACACUGGAACUGAGACACGGUCCAGACUCCUACGGGAGGCAGCAGUGGGGAAUAUUGGACAAAGGGCGCAAGCCUGAUCCAGCUAUACCGCGUGGGUGAAGAAGGCCUUCGGGUUGUAAAGCCCUUUUGUUGGGAAAGAAAAGCAGCAGGUUAAUACCCCGCUGUUCUGACGGUACCCAACGAAUAAGCACCGGCUAACUUCGUG
rnacentral:rRNA from 1 species